rnacentral:rRNA from 1 species
CCUACGGGAGGCAGCAGUGGGGAAUAUUGGGCAAUGGGCGCAAGCCUGACCCAGCAAUGCCGCGUGAAGGAAGAAGGCUUUCGGGUUGUAAACUUCUUUGACAGGGGAAGAGCAGAAGACGGUACCCUGAAAACAAGCCACGGCUAACUACGUGCCAGCAGCCGCGGUAAUACGUAGGUGGCAAGCGUUAUCCGGAUUUAUUGGGUUUAAAGGGUGCGUAGGCGGACAGUCAAGUCAGCGGUAAAAAUGCGGUGCUCAACGCCGUACAGCCGUUGAAACUGGCAGUCUUGAGUGGGCGAGAAGUAUGCGGAAUGCGUGGUGUAGCGGUGAAAUGCAUAGAUAUCACGCAGAACUCCGAUUGCGAAGGCAGCAUACCGGCGCCCGACUGACGCUGAGGCACGAAAGCGUGGGUAUCGAACAGGAUUAGAUACCCCUGUAGUC